rnacentral:lncRNA from 1 species
AAGUUUAUACUGUAUGCACAUCUCUCUGUCUAUCUUCUCUUCCUCUCUCCCUUUAUGUGCAUAUAUAUAUAAAUACUACAAGUAUACUACAGUUGUUUACACUAAUGUAACUAUACACUUUUAUCUCUGGUUUUCCUCUAUUUAUAGCUAGACAUUUCUCUCCAGUUGAAGCACAUAACUCAUUUGGAAGGUGCUCUCUCAACUUUCACUUACAUUGUCAUAGUUGAGAGAGCAUCUUCCAAGUCACAGCCUUCCAUUAUAAAUGAUGAGUGGUGGAGAUCGAUGCUAUGUUUGUCGAACCCCGUACAAAGCGGAUUUGAUAGGUAUGUCACAAUAAGUUUGUCGUCUGAUUGCCAAAAUACAAUUAGUUCAAUCAUCUGUAAGAGUUGCAGCCUUUUCGGUCCGAUCAAGAAAAUUACGGGUCUACAUUCAUUCUUCACCUCUUAUUUCAAUUUUUUUGCUUUUUUUGCACAGGGUACUACAAAUUGGAGACACCAUUUUGCCAUUGAUGGCCAACAAUAGCUUCAUCAAGAUAACUACUUAUGGUAUAAUGUCUUUCUUCAUACGACGAUCCCUAAACCCUAAAUGACAUCUGGGCUCGCUUCCUGCAAUUUGUUUCAUGCAGGCUUUGCGUAGAAUAUGUCCCAUAAAGAAAAAAUCUGCAUGUCUACAUGCAAGUCUAAGCAAACACAAACACAUGCUUACACACAUUAUACAUGCCUCCCUCUCUAUGUGCACACAUUGCAUAUGUAGUAUCAUUAUGGGACCAAGAAAUCCAAACCCUAUAAGGAUUGGAACUAGUUUGAUCUAGG